AUGAACGCUAGCUACAGGCUUAACACAUGCAAGUCGAGGGGCAGCAUGAACUUAGCUUGCUAAGUUUGAUGGCGACCGGCGCACGGGUGAGUAACACGUAUCCAACCUGCCGAUGACUCGGGGAUAGCCUUUCGAAAGAAAGAUUAAUACCCGAUGGCAUAGUUCUUCCGCAUGGUAGAACUAUUAAAGAAUUUCGGUCAUCGAUGGGGAUGCGUUCCAUUAGGUUGUUGGCGGGGUAACGGCCCACCAAGCCUUCGAUGGAUAGGGGUUCUGAGAGGAAGGUCCCCCACAUUGGAACUGAGACACGGUCCAAACUCCUACGGGAGGCAGCAGUGAGGAAUAUUGGUCAAUGGACGAGAGUCUGAACCAGCCAAGUAGCGUGAAGGAUGACUGCCCUAUGGGUUGUAAACUUCUUUUAUACGGGAAUAAAGUGAGGCACGUGUGCCUUUUUGUAUGUACCGUAUGAAUAAGGAUCGGCUAACUCCGUGCCAGCAGCCGCGGUAAUACGGAGGAUCCGAGCGUUAUCCGGAUUUAUUGGGUUUAAAGGGAGCGUAGGCGGACGCUUAAGUCAGUUGUGAAAGUUUGCGGCUCAACCGUAAAAUUGCAGUUGAUACUGGGUGUCUUGAGUACAGUAGAGGCAGGCGGAAUUCGUGGUGUAGCGGUGAAAUGCUUAGAUAUCACGAAGAACUCCGAUUGCGAAGGCAGCUUGCUGGACUGUAACUGACGCUGAUGCUCGAAAGUGUGGGUAUCAAACAGGAUUAGAUACCCUGGUAGUCCACACAGUAAACGAUGAAUACUCGCUGUUUGCGAUAUACAGUAAGCGGCCAAGCGAAAGCGUUAAGUAUUCCACCUGGGGAGUACGCCGGCAACGGUGAAACUCAAAGGAAUUGACGGGGGCCCGCACAAGCGGUGGAUUAUGUGGUUUAAUUCGAAGCAACGCGAAGAACCUUACCAGGGCUUGACAUCCUACUAACGAAGUAGAGAUACAUCAGGUGCCCUUCGGGGAAAGUAGAGACAGGUGGUGCAUGGUUGUCGUCAGCUCGUGUCGUGAGAUGUUGGGUUAAGUCCCGCAACGAGCGCAACCCUUAUGGUCAGUUACUACGCAAGAGGACUCUGGCCAGACUGCCGUUGACAAAACGGAGGAAGGUGGGGACGACGUCAAAUCAUCAUGCCCUUUAUGUCUUGGGCUACACACGUACUACAAUGGCUAUAACAAAGAGAAGCGAGACAGUGAUGUGGAGCAAAACUCAAAAAAAUAGUCUCAGUUCGGAUUGAAGGCUGAAAUUCGCCUUCAUGAAGCUGGAAUUGCUAGUAAUGGCAGGUCAGCAUACUGCCGUGAAUACGUUCCCGGGCCUUGUACACACCGCCCGUCACACCAUGAGAGUUGGAAAUACCCGAAGCCUGUGAGCUAACCUAUGAGGCAGCAGUCGAAGGUAGAGCCAAUGAUUGGGGUG
rnacentral:rRNA from 1 species